AUUGAACGCUGGCGGCAGGCUUAACACAUGCAAGUCGAACGAGUGGCGGACGGGUGAGUAAUGUCUGGGAAACUGCCCGAUGGAGGGGGAUAACUACUGGAAACGGUAGCUAAUACCGCAUACCAUCGGAUGUGCCCAGAUGGGAUUAGCUAUGAGGUGGGGUAACGGCACACCUAGGCUACGAUCCCUAGCUGGUCUUAGAGGAUGACCAGCCACACUGGAACUGAGCAACGGUCCAGACUCCUACGUGAGGCAGCAGUGGGGAAUAUUGCACAAUGGGCGAAAGCCUGAUGCAGCCAUGCCGCGUGUAUGAAGAAGGCCUUAGGGUUGUAAAGUACUUUCAGCGAGGAGGCGUUACUCGCAGAAGAAGCACCGGCUAACUCCGUGCCAGCAGCCGCGGUAAUAC
rnacentral:rRNA from 1 species